AACGAACGCUGGCGGCGUGCUUAACACAUGCAAGUCCGACGAGAAAGUCCCUUCGGGGAUGAGUACAGUGGCGCACGGGUGAGUAACACGCGGGUAACCUACCUCCAUAACAGGGAUAACAUCUCGAAAGGGGUGCUAAUACCUGGUAAGACCACGUCGCGGGAGCGGCGAGGUAAAAGAUGGCCUCUGACUCAAGCUAUCGCAUGGAGAUGGGCCCACGGCCUAUCAGCUUGCUGGCGGGGUAACGGCCCACCAAGGCUCUGACGGGUAGCCGGCCUGAGAGGGUGAACGGCCACACUGGAACUGAGACACGGUCCAGACUCCUACGGGAGGCAGCAGUGGGGAAUUUUGCGCAAUGGGCGAAAGCCUGACGCAGCAACGCCGCGUGAGGGAUGAAGGCCUUCGGGUUGUAAACCUCUUUUAACCGGGAAGAAACCCCCGUCCGCAAAUAGCGGGCGGGAUUGACGGUACCGGUUGAAUAAGCCACGGCUAACUC
rnacentral:rRNA from 1 species